rnacentral:rRNA from 1 species
GAGUUUGAUCAUGGCUCAGGAUGAACGCUGGCGGCGUGCUUAACACAUGCAAGUCGAACGAAGCAACUUAUUACGAUCCCUUCGGGGUGACGAUUUGUUGACUGAGUGGCGGACGGGUGAGUAACGCGUGGGUAACCUACCUUGUACAGGGGGAUAACAGUUGGAAACKACUGCUAAUACCKCWUAAGCGCACGGUAUCGCAUGAUACASUGUGAAAAGUUUUUCSGUAUAAGAUGGACCCSCGUCUGAUUAKC